GCUAGCUACAGGCUUAACACAUGCAAGUCGAGGGGCAGCAUGGUCUUAGCUUGCUAAGGCCGAUGGCGACCGGCGCACGGGUGAGUAACACGUAUCCAACCUGCCGUCUACUCUUGGACAGCCUUCUGAAAGGAAGAUUAAUACAAGAUGGCAUCAUGAGUCCGCAUGUUCACAUGAUUAAAGGUAUUCCGGUAGACGAUGGGGAUGCGUUCCAUUAGAUAGUAGGCGGGGUAACGGCCCACCUAGUCUUCGAUGGAUAGGGGUUCUGAGAGGAAGGUCCCCCCCAUUGGAACUGAGACACGGUCCAAACUCCUACGGGAGGCAGCAGUGAGGAAUAUUGGUCAAUGGGCGAGAGCCUGAACCAGCCAAGUAGCGUGAAGGAUGACUGCCCUAUGGGUUGUAAACUUCUUUUAUAAAGGAAUAAAGUCGGGUAUGGAUACCCGUUUGCAUGUACUUUAUGAAUAAGGAUCGGCUAACUCCGUGCCAGCAGCCGCGGUAAUACGGAGGAUCCGAGCGUUAUCCGGAUUUAUUGGGUUUAAAGGGAGCGUAGAUGGAUGUUUAAGUCAGUUGUGAAAGUUUGCGGCUCAACCGUAAAAUUGCAGUUGAUACUGGAUAUCUUGAGUGCAGUUGAGGUAGGCGGAAUUCGUGGUGUAGCGGUGAAAUGCUUAGAUAUCACGAAGAACUCCGAUUGCGAAGGCAGCCUGCUAAGCUGCAACUGACAUUGAGGCUCGAAAGUGUGGGUAUCAAACAGGAUUAGAUACCCUGGUAGUCCACACGGUAAACGAUGAAUACUCGCUGUUUGCGAUAUACAGCAAGCGGCCAAGCGAAAGCGUUAAGUAUUCCACCUGGGGAGUACGCCGGCAACGGUGAAACUCAAAGGAAUUGACGGGGGCCCGCACAAGCGGAGGAACAUGUGGUUUAAUUCGAUGAUACGCGAGGAACCUUACCCGGGCUUAAAUUGCAGAUGAAUUACGGUGAAAGCCGUAAGCCGCAAGGCAUCUGUGAAGGUGCUGCAUGGUUGUCGUCAGCUCGUGCCGUGAGGUGUCGGCUUAAGUGCCAUAACGAGCGCAACCCUUGUUGUCAGUUACUAACAGGUUCCGCUGAGGACUCUGACAAGACUGCCAUCGUAAGAUGUGAGGAAGGUGGGGAUGACGUCAAAUCAGCACGGCCCUUACGUCCGGGGCUACACACGUGUUACAAUGGGGGGUACAGAGGGCCGCUACCACGCGAGUGGAUGCCAAUCCCCAAAACCUCUCUCAGUUCGGACUGGAGUCUGCAACCCGACUCCACGAAGCUGGAUUCGCUAGUAAUCGCGCAUCAGCCACGGCGCGGUGAAUACGUUCCCGGGCCUUGUACACACCGCCCGUCAAGCCAUGGGAGCCGGGGGUACAAAGAGUGCGUAACCGCGAGGAGCGCCCUAGGGUAAAACU
rnacentral:rRNA from 1 species